rnacentral:rRNA from 1 species
UACAGAGGGGGCAAGCGUUAUUCGGAUUUAUUGGGCGUAAAGCGCGUGUAGGCGGUUCGAUUAGUCUGCUGUGAAAGUCAGGGGCUCAACCCUUGAAUGCCGGUGGAUACUGUCGGGCUAGAGUGCGGAAGAGGCGAGUGGAAUUCCUGGUGUAGCGGUGAAAUGCGCAGAUAUCAGGAGGAACACCAAUUGCGAAGGCAGCUCGCUGGGACGUUACUGACGCUGAGACGCGAAAGCGUGGGGAGCGAACAGG